rnacentral:rRNA from 1 species
GGAAAGUUUUUUCGGUUGGGGAUGGGCUCGCGGCCUAUCAGUUUGUUGGUGAGGUAAUGGCUCACCAAGACGACGACGGGUAGCCGGCCUGAGAGGGCGACCGGCCACACUGGGACUGAGACACGGCCCAGACUCCUACGGGAGGCAGCAGUGGGGAAUAUUGCACAAUGGGGGAAACCCAGAUGCAGCGACGCAGCGUGCGGGAUGACGGCCUUCGGGUUGUAAACCGCUUUCAGCAGGGAAGAAGCCUUUCGGGGUGACGGUACCUGCAGAAGAAGUACCGGCUAACUACGUGCCAGCAGCCGCGGUAAUACGUAGGGUACAAGCGUUGUCCGGAAUUAUUGGGCGUAAAGAGCUCGUAGGUGGUUGGUCACGUCUGCUGUGGAAACGCAACGCUUAACGUUGCGCGUGCAGUGGGUACGGGCUGACUAGAGUGCAGUAGGGGAGUCUGGAAUUCCUGGUGUAGCGGUGAAAUGCGCAGAUAUCAGGAGGAACACCGGUGGCGAAGGCGGGACUCUGGGCUGUAACUGACACUGAGGAGCGAAAGCAUGGGGAGCGAACAGGAUUAGAUACCCUGGUAGUCCAUGCCGUAAACGUUGGGCACUAGGUGUGGGGGACAUUCCACGUUCUCCGCGCCGUAGCUAACGCAUUAAGUGCCCCGCCUGGGGAGUACGGUCGCAAGGCUAAAACUCAAAGGAAUUGACGGGGGCCCGCACAAGCGGCGGAGCAUGCGGAUUAAUUCGAUGCAACGCGAAGAACCUUACCAAGGCUUGACAUACACCAGACCGUUCUGGAAACAGUUCCUCCCCUUUGGGGUUGGUGUACAGGUGGUGCAUGGUUGUCGUCAGCUCGUGUCGUGAGAUGUUGGGUUAAGUCCCGCAACGAGCGCAACCCUCGUUCUAUGUUGCCAGCACGUAAUGGUGGGAACUCAUAGGAGACUGCCGGGGUCAACUCGGAGGAAGGUGGGGAUGACGUCAAAUCAUCAUGCCCUUUAUGUCUUGGGCUUCACGCAUGCUACAAUGGCUGGUACAGAGAGAUGCGAGACCGCGAGGUUUUAGCGAAUCCCUUAAAGCCAGUCUCAGUUCGGAUCGUAGUCUGCAAUUCGACUACGUGAAGUCGGAGUCGCUAGUAAUCGCAGAUCAGCAACGUGCG